AACGAACGCUGGCGGCAGGCUUAACACAUGCAAGUCGAACGCAUCCUUCGGGGUGAGUGGCAGACGGGUGAGUAACGCGUGGGAACGUGCCCUUCAGUUCGGGAUAACCCAGGGAAACUUGGGCUAAUACCGGAUACGUGCGAGAGCAGAAAGAUUUAUCGCUGAAGGAUCGGCCCGCGUCUGAUUAGCUAGUUGGUGGGGUAAUGGCCCACCAAGGCGACGAUCAGUAGCGGGUCUGAGAGGAUGAUCAGCCACGUUGGGACUGAGACACGGCCCAAACUCCUACGGUGGGCAGCAGUGGGGAAUAUUGGACAAUGGGCGCAAGCCUGAUCCAGCCAUGCCGCGUGAGUGAUGAAGGCCUUAGGGUUGUAAAGCUCUUUCGUCCGGGACGAUAAUGACGGUACCGGAAGAAGAAGCCCCGGCUAACUUCGUGCCAGCAGCCGCCGCCG
rnacentral:rRNA from 1 species